rnacentral:tRNA from 1 species
GUAGAAUUAGGUUAAAUUUAAACUUUUAGUUUUCAAAACUAAGAAUUAUUUUCUA